rnacentral:tRNA from 1 species
CGGAGGUUGCAGUGAACAGAGAUUGCACCGGUGCCUGGACAACAAAGAGACUACGGAAAAGAAGAGUGACUAAGAUCUCUGAAGAAGGGAAAAGCUAGAUGACUGGGCCACAAGAGAAAAAAAGCAGCAAGACAGAGAUUUGUUGGUGCCAACUAAAUGAGCCCAACAGCCAGUGACAACAGAACUGCACUAAAAAAAGUCCCUCAUCAGCUCUUGAGAGCAGGUUCCUUAAAGGUGAACAAUAUUCCACAUACAAGGACUUUUUCAGCACCAUGCAUUAGAAAUGGAAGUGAAUGUUUAUUAUUUUUUGUAUAAGUUGGUUGAUACGGCUUUUCAGCUUCCCUCAGUAUCAUUAUCCAAAUUUUGUAGAUGACACUAAAGCUCAGAGGAGUUAAACCAUUUUCCUCAAAUCACAUAGCUUUAAAUAGGAAAACCAGAUAUGAAAAGCAGAUUUUUUUCUAAAUUAAAAAAAAAAAAAAAACUUGAGCUCUUGCUUUACCCUAGCACAUAGUCUCACCAUCUGUUUUCUCCAUGCCAGGUCAUUCAUGUAACAUUCAUUCACAUAACAAAUACAAAUAAAUGAGUGGAUUCAUUCAUCAGCUAUUAAUUCAGAAUCUCUUUUGUGUCUACCACACUAGGCUCAAGACUUCCCAGUGUCUUUGUCUCCUCUCCCUCAAAUCUCUCCACCCAAUGUCUUGACAAAUACUGUAGAUCCUUCCUGCACAGCAUCACCAGAAUGUUUUUCUUUCUUUUCAUUCACCUCUGUCAUCAUCCAUGCUAUGGUGUUUAUGGAGGAUGUAUUCUGCAGCAGGAAGUGUGAUGGGCACUGACGCUGCAGAAAGACUCCUGUUGUCCACCUCGGGAGCUGACACGAUAAAUGCGGGUAAAUCUCAAUCCUUUAAUAUCUUUAUGACUUCUUUCUCUUUCUCUUCAAUUUCUAUUUUCUCAUGUUCAAGCUCUGACAUUCAAAACUAAACACCUUUCUCUAACAUGUUGCUUUAAUUAUUUAAGCAUUCUGCCUGGGAUUUUUUCAAUUACUCUUGGGAGUUUUCAUAAAACUCUACCAACAUAUCUCCAAGUGGCCAGGCUUUUCAAUCACUGCUUCCCUCCGUGUGUAUUUCACACACACACACACACACACACACACACACACAGCACUUAAAUUGAACAGGUUUAUUUCUUCACACAGGAAUUCCUACGAACAGCCCGGUUUUCUCCACCAUAUGUCCACUCCUUCUCUGCAUAGCUGAAUUUUGAUUCUUACACUCUAAUAUUUUACAUAUUCUUACACUCUGAUAUGAUCUUGUCUCUUAUUCUUUAUGGCUCUGCUCUGUAAUUUUGUUGUUGUUGUUCUGAGAUAUAGUUGGACAUGUAACUUGUACAUGACACACCUUAGCAAGGAGGCAACCUAUAUCUCAGAUGCAAGUGAAAGAAGCACUCCCCAGGGGUUUCCUAAGGUAGUGGUCAGCACGCUGGCUUCAUUCCUGAAAGGGCCUAGUUAUGAAAACAACAGGAGCUUUUUGCCUUCCAGAAAUCUGUACCAUCUCAAAAUCCCCAGAGAGUCUCAGCUACAAGGAACAAGUGAUAAUACUAUCUCACUUUUAUAAACACACACACACAACACACACACACAAAAUCAUUUAAUCAUUUUUAAUUAUUUAAUCAUUUUUUAAAAAUCAGUGACACUUUAGAUGGGCAGGUCUAGGCAGGGCCUCCUUUCCUGGAAUGUGCCUUUUUCUGUCCCGGAAUACCCUAAACUUGACAUUUUGGCAGUGUGAGUUUUCCCUUUUUGACUUUCUCCUUGUUCCCUUUCCUCUUCCUUCUUUGCAGAGAAUGAGUAGCCACUGCACCUUGCCCUGGGCCAUCAGUGAGAAGAUCUGCUCUUAGUAGAGCCCUGCUUUCCCGCUGAAGGCCCUGAAAUCCCCUGUGUUCCAGGCCACCCACUAAGGAUCAAUAAAGCUCCCCUGAUGUGGGGGAAUUAGCUCAAGUGGUAGAGCGCUUGCUUAGCAUGCAAGAGGUAGUGGGAUCGAUGCCCACAUUCUCCAAACUUUAUUAUUUAGACCCUGGGUCUCCAAACACUCAGGUCUCCAAACCCAAGUCAGAGAACAGGAUGCUGCUUUGGUUCAAGAUGUAGGAGCAGCAACAAUACAGGGCUGGUGACGGCUCCCUCCUGGCAUUCAGUAUAGUGUAGAUCUACCGUGUAAUUAAUUUUCUGCUUCUUUGAGGAGCUGUGAAACCAAGGGACAUAAACAAUUGCUCUUUUCUCCCUGUUUCUGCCUGUAGCUUGAAUGUGAGGCAACUGUGAAAAGUGCAGGGCAGAGCCACCUGGGUAAAUACAGCCCUGGCUUUCUGGUGAGAGGACUGAAACCAGGAUGUGUCAAGUAACUAGAAUGUGCCUGGACAGAUACUGUAGAAAGCAAACCCAUAAAGUUGUUCAUGAGCUUGUGGACGCACCUGCCAGCUGUGAAUAAGUGGGUCUAAUCCCAAACAACUUACCUAAAAAGAGCCUGAGGACUGAACUAAACAAUGGUCCGCUUUCCAGUCCUCACUGACCACUGGUUGCACACACUCCAGAGAUCUCUCAUCCGCAGUGUCAAGGCUUUCAAAUAGAGUUAUCUGUGAAACAACAACACAUGGAAGUCUGGUUGGUACUUGGAGCUUAAAUACAAGGCAAUUGUGUGCCUGCAAAAACAAAAAGAGCAAUAUUAUCCUUAAGAUUUCAACAAGACACAGUGUCUCAUCACAUAAUCCAAAGAAGUCCAGGUUACAAGCCCCAAAAUAUUCAGCAUUAUGAAAAACCAGGGAGAUCUUAAUUCACAUGGCAAAGAGAAUCCUUGCAUAACAAUAUUGAGAGGACACAUAUGUCAAAAUCAUCUGACACAUACAUUAAAGCAGUUAUUAUAACAAUGCUCCUAGAAUUACGGGAUAGCAUUCAUGAAGUGAAUGGAAAGUUGGAAAGUCUCACCAAAUAUUUGGAAUAUGUAAACACCAAUUUAAACUUAAGAAUUAAAAAAAGUAUUAACCAAAACUAUUAGGGGAAAUAAAAAGCUUAAUUGGAUGAUCUCAAUAGCAGUAUGCAGAAGACUAAGGAAAAAGUCAAUGAACUUGAAAACGGAACAAGAAUACCUACAGAAUCUGACCUAUAGAAAGAAAGGAGGAUUUUAUUGUCCCUGAACAGAGGCUCAGGGACAAAUAAAAAAUAACAAAUCUAACAUUCACAUUAUUGUAAUCUGGAAACAUUCACAUUAUUGUAAGAGGACAAAGAGGUCUUUGUGGGAUAAAACUGUGAAGAAUUAAUGGCUGAAAAUGUAUCAAAUUUCUCAAAAGAUAUAAACCAGAUUUUUAAAGUUCAGUAAAUGUCAAGCAGGAUAAACCAAAAGAAACCCAUUGCAAGACAUAUCAUAAUCAAACUGCGGAAAAUUAAGAAAACACAAAACAAUUUUGAAAGCAGCCAAAGGGAAAUGAAAGAUAAAAUACCAAAUGAAUGAUUGUAGAUUUCUCAUCGGGAACCCAGGAGCCAGAAAAAAAUGUCAUAACAUUCAGUAAAUACCAAAGGAAAAAUACAUUAUCAACCCAGAAUGGUAUGUGGAGCAAAAGUAUCUUCCAGACAUAAAGGCAAAUAAAUGCAUUCUCAUUGGAAGGUAAAUAAAUACAUUCUCAGUCCUAGCAAAACUGCUGGAAAAGAAUUAGCAAAGGUUUGAGAUAAGAAAAGUGAUACCAGAAGGAAACUUAGAACAUCAUCAAUGAAGGAACAAAAGCAGAAAUAGAAAAUGUCUGGGUAGACAUAACAGACUAUUAUUCUUCUCUUGAGUUCCUUAAGGUAUGUUUGAUGGUUGAAAGCAAAAAUUGUAACUUUAUCUGAUGCAGUUGUCAUUGUAUCUAGAUGUACUACAUACAUAAGAUAAAAGGGUAAAUGUAAUGGGACUAACUCUUGAUGAAGUUUCUAUAUUCAACUUGAAUGGUAAAAUAUUGAUUCUUAGUAUACUGUGAAAAGUUAUAUAUGUAUAUGGUAAUCCCUAGACCACUUAACAACCAGAUUGAAAUAAACCAAAACAAGAUAGACAGAGGAACAUAGAAGAAUUAAAACAAAGGGAAAAAAGGUUAAUAAAUUAUUAAAUAGUAGAUCUAUCUAAAAACUUAUCUAUAAUAACAUUAUAUGUAAAUUAUCUAAAUGCAUUAAGUAAAAACUAGAGAUCAUCAGAAUGUGUUAAAAAUAAAUAUGCUGACUAAAGAAAGCCACCUGCAAUACACUUAUAAAUAAGAAUAAAAGUUAUAGAGCAGAUUGAAAGAAAAGAGUGGGAAAAGAUACCUCAUGCAAGCAUUAAUCAAAGACAGCUGUGGUGUAUAUAUAUAAAAUCAGACAAAGUAGAUUUGAAAGCAGAGAAACUUUUCAGGAAUAAUGAGGCCUCCUAAAUAAUUAUGAUUGUCAAUUUUUCAGGAGAAUAUUGUCCCAAAUGUAUAUGAGGACACAGAGCUUCAAAACUCAUAAACAAAAUUGGAUACGCCAAGUAAAAAUAGAAAAAUCCAGUUAUAGUUGCAGUCAUUAACACUCCUCUCUGAGUAAUUGGAAGAUUUAGUGGAACACAAAUCAACAGACAUACUGGAGAAUUGAACCAUGCCAUCCAGUAAUGGACCUAUCAAUUUCAUAAUGCAAAAUAAAAAUUCAGGUAGAAAGCAAAGACAAAAAUUAAAAGAAAAGCAAGAUCAUGUUAUAAUGAGAAAAUUAAGAGUAGUCCAGUGUAUAGAAGGGUGCUAUUAUUGAAAGAGUUUGAAAUAGUGACUUAGUUAUUUUGAAACAUUUUUGAAGACGUUAUUUAGCUGGAAAUGACAGAAAGACUGAAAAUGGUGAAUGUGGAGGUGGAUCUUCCCUUGUCCAUAUUUAUCUUGUCUUCGUUUGAGGUCUGGGGUGUCUAUACUUCCUCUGAAUUACCUGAUCUUACUACAGUGUCUGGCACAGAGCAUCUCCCCAGUGAAUAUGUACUAAAUGAGUAGAAAGUAAUUGAUAGAUUCAAAAGAGUUGUGCAAGAAUAAUGUUCAUUAUUUGACUAAUCACUGAAUGUGGUGUUUCAAGGAAGACAAUGAAUCAAAGUUGACUUGAAAGGUAAGCCCAGGGCCAGACGUGGUGGCUCAUUUCUGUAAUCCCAGCACUUUGGGAGGCCGAGAUCAGUGGAUCCCUUGACACCAGGAG